rnacentral:sRNA from 1 species
UUUUUGCAUUACGGAUUGGAAGCGUAUCCUUCGAAGAAGAUAUAGCGGAAAGCCGGACCCCGA